rnacentral:rRNA from 1 species
AUGAACGCUGGCGGCGUGCCUCAUCCCUGCCAGUCGAGCGAACAGACGAGGAGCUUGCUCCUCUGACGUUAGCGGCGGACGGGUGAGUAACACGUGGAUAACCUACCUAUAAGACUGGGAUAACUUCGGGAAACCGGAGCUAAUACCGGAUAAUAUAUUGAACCGCAUGGUUCCAUAGUGAAAGACGGUUUUGCUGUCACUUAUAGAUGGAUCCGCGCCGCAUUAGCUAGUUGGUAAGGUAACGGCUUACCAAGGCGACGAUGCGUAGCCGACCUGAGAGGGUGAUCGGCCACACUGGAACUGAGACACGGUCCAGACUCCUACGGGAGGCAGCAGUAGGGAAUCUUCCGCAAUGGGCGAAAGCCUGACGGAGCAACGCCGCGUGAGUGAUGAAGGUCUUCGGAUCGUAAAACUCUGUUAUUAGGGAAGAACAAAUGUGUAAGUAACUAUGCACGUCUUGACGGUACCUAAUCAGAAAGCCACGGCUAACUACGUG